GACGAACGCUGGCGGCGUGCUUAACACAUGCAAGUCGAACGUGAUUUUUGUGGAAAUUCUUUCGGGAAUGGAAAUGAAAUGAAAGUGGCGAACGGGUGAGUAACACGUGAGCAACCUACCUUACACAGGGGGAUAGCCGUUGGAAACGACGAUUAAUACCGCAUGAGACCACAGAAUCGCAUGAUAUAGGGGUCAAAGAUUUAUCGGUGUAAGAAGGGCUCGCGUCUGAUUAGCUAGUUGGAAGGGUAAAGGCCUACCAAGGCGACGAUCAGUAGCCGGUCUGAGAGGAUGAACGGCCACAUUGGAACUGAGACACGGUCCAAACUCCUACGGGAGGCAGCAGUGGGGAAUAUUGCACAAUGGGGGGAACCCUGAUGCAGCGACGCCGCGUGAGCGAAGAAGGUUUUCGAAUCGUAAAGCUCUGUCCUAUGAGAAGAUAAUGACGGUAUCAUAGGAGGAAGCCCCGGCUAAAUACGUGCCAGCAGCCGCGGUAAUACGUAUGGGGCGAGCGUUGUCCGGAAUUAUUGGGCGUAAAGGGUACGUAGGCGGUUUUUUAAGUCAGGUGUGAAAGCGUGAGGCUUAACCUCAUUAAGCACUUGAAACUGGAAGACUUGAGUGAAGGAGAGGAAAGUGGAAUUCCUAGUGUAGCGGUGAAAUGCGUAGAUAUUAGGAGGAAUACCGGUGGCGAAGGCGACCUUCUGGACUUUUACUGACGCUCAGGUACGAAAGCGUGGGGAGCAAACAGG
rnacentral:rRNA from 1 species